CUCUAUGGGUGUAGAGAGAAGAUGGAUGACAAACUAUCUGAGGCUAUGGCAGCUGGGAGUGGAGAAGAUAUACUGAAGCCAUGGCUUCAGACAGUUUGUCAUCUCCUAAUUCCUUUGAAGAAUCAGCUGCCAUUGACUUCCUGUUCCCAGAUUUCUGGCUCAAUCCUGGAAGAGUAAUUCUUCAUCUAAAGCCACGACAAUGAGUGAAAAUGAUUUCAAGCACACAAAAUCCUUUAUAAUUUAAAGACUCCACUUUUGAGAUACACCAAAGCCACCGUUGUUACGCAAGUUAUUAAACUAUUAUAAAACUC
rnacentral:sRNA from 1 species